AUGGAAGAGGGGCAUGGAGGAGAAAGACAUGGUAGAGACGCCAUUGGAGAGAGGGAGUGGGGAGAAGAACAAGGCAGAAAAGCCAUGGGAGAGAGGGAGGUGGAAGAAGAACAUGGCACAAACGCCAUGGGAGAGGGAAAAAGGGGAGAGGCAGAGGCAUGGCAGAGGGAAUUACCUGGAGGUGGAACAGAAGCAGUCACUUGUGCUACACAGCAAUAUCAAUCCAGAGGAAAACAACAGAUGAAUGAUGAUGCUGAUUGUACAGCAACAGCAAAAACUAACAGAAAUCAAAACAAUCAAGAAGAAAGGGGCGAACAAGGGGACUUGCAUCAACAACCUGAAAGCAAUGCCUCCCUUGAUGAAGAAGAUGCAUUUAUGAUGAAGAUGACAUUGAGAUGUUCCUGCAAAAUAAAGAGGCUGCCGCAUCUGAGGGAAAUUUGA
rnacentral:rRNA from 1 species